rnacentral:rRNA from 1 species
UAAAUCUAUUUAAAAGCAAUAAACGGAUGCCUUGGGUAAAAAAGAGGAAGAAGGACGUAGCUGGCUGCGAAAAGUCUUGAUGAGAUGCCAACAAUCGCUUGGAGUCAAGAAUAUCCGAAUGGGGCAACCUAUUCUCUAUAAGAGAAUACAAAGUUGACAAUACUCGGUGAAGUGAAAUAUCUCAGUAACCGAAGGAAAAGAAAUCGUAAUGAGAUUCCCUUAGUAGUGACGAGCGAACAGGGAAGAGCCCAAACUCUAUUAGUGUAAGCUUCUAGGCGUUGCUAAUAAGAGGGUUGAAGGACUAUUUGUGAAGAGCUAGAAAUCUUCGAAUGGAGAGAUGUUAUAUUAGGAGAAGUGCUUGGAUGGCACACCAUAGGAGGUUAAAGUCCCGUAUCUGAAAAUAUGACACCACAUUAAAUAGCACCUGAGUAAUGUCGAACACGAGAAAUUCGGCAUGAAUCUGCCCAGACCACUGGGUAAGGCUAAAUACUUUUUUACACCGAUAGCGCAGAGUACCGUGAGGGAACGGUGAAAAGAACCCCAGGUAGGGGAGUGAAAUAGAACCUGAAAUUUAUUGCUUACAAUUGAGUGGGAGCCUUUGGGUGACCACGUACCUAUUGACGAAUGGGUCAGCGAGUUAUUGGUAGUAGCAAGGUUAAGGCAGUUAUAGCUGGAGCCGUAGCGAAAGCGAGUCUGAAUAGGGCGAAUAGUUAUUAUCAAUAGACCCGAAGCGGUAUGAGCUAGACAUGGGCAGGUUGAAGGCAUAGGAAACUAUGCUGGAGGACCGAACGGGUUGGUGCUGCAAAACCUUCCGAUGACCUGUGUUUAGGAGUGAAAAGCUCAUCGAAUACCGUGAUAGCUGGUUCUCUCCGAAAUGCAUUUAGGUGCAGCCUGUAUUUGAAGGUCUUGAAGAGGUAGAGCUCUGGAAAGGCUAGGGGGAUCGAGAGAUCUUACCAAACCUUACUAAACUUCGAAUGCUUCAAGGAAUAAUACAGAGUGGGACUAUGGGAGCAAGUUUCAUAGUCGAAAGGAUAACAGUCCAGACUUCUGAUUAAGGUCCCUAAAGUAAUGCUAAGUGGAAAAAGAGGUGUCUUUGCUUAUACAUCCAGGAGGUUUGCCUAGAAGCAGCAAUCCUUUAAAGAAAGCGUAACAGCUCACUGGACUAACGAAGAUGCGCUGAAGAUGUAACGGGGCUAAGCAUUAUACCGAAAUCGAAGACCAGUGUAGAAAUACACUGUGUGGUAGGAGAGUGUUCUUACAGGAUGAAGCUACACUGCGAGGUGUGGUCGACUAGUAAGAAGUAAAAAUGCUGACAUGAGUAACGCUUAUUGAUGAAAAUUCAAUAUAUCGAAACCCUAAGGAUUCCUACGCAACGUUCAUCGUCGUAGGGUUAGUCGGGACCUAAGGCGCAUCCUGAAAAGGAUGGUCGAUGGAUAACUGGUUAAUAUUCCAGUACUUAUUUAUAGAGUGAUGGGGUGACGCAUCGAGAUUUGUAAGAGCUUAUUAAGGAUUUGAGUCGAAAGAGUGAGGUUUUUAUGACGUUAGUCGUAAAGGUGGUUGCAGGAAAAUCCACAACUAUUGAUACUGAGCUUGAUCGGGAUUUAACUCCUCGGAGUUAGAAAUUCUUAUCGUUUUGGUGCCGAGAAAAACCUCUAAACUUAAUCUAUAGAUAACCCGUACCCAGAUCAGACACUUGUGGGGUGGUAGAGAAUACUAAGAUAAUCGAGAUAACUAAUGGGUAAGGAACUUGGCAAAUUAGCGGACGUACUUUCGAAAUAAGUCCUGUCCCGAGCAAUCGGGAUCGCAGCGAAAGAGAUGGGGGGAACUGUUUAUCAAAAACACAGCUCGCUGCUAACUCGUAAGAGGAUGUAUAGCGGGUGAUGCCUGUCCAAUGCCAGAAUGUUAUGCUCUCUUGUGCAAGCUCGAGGGUUAAGCACUGGUGAAUGACGGCCGUAACUAUGACGGUCCUAAGGUAGCGAAAUUCCUUGUCAGGUAAGUUCUGACGCGCAUGAAUGGCAUAAUCAUCCCCAUGCUGUCUUACCCUUAAACUCGGUGAAAUUACAUUCCCGGUAAAAA